UACGUAGGUGGCAAGCGUUGUCCGGAAUUAUUGGGCGUAAAGCGCACGUAGGCGGCUGGGUAAGUCUGUCUGUGAAAGCCCGGGGCUCAACCCCGCAGACUGCAGGGGAUACUGCCUGGCUGGAGACAAGCAGAGGUUGGUAGAAUUCCGGGUGUAGCGGUGGAAUGCGUAGAGAUCCGGAGGAAUUCCAGAGGCGAAGGCGGCCAACUGGGCUUGUUCUGACGCUGAGGUACGAAAGCAUGGGGAGCAAACAGG
rnacentral:misc_RNA from 1 species